GGCCAGCAGCCGCGGUAAGACAGAGGAUGCAAGCGUUAUCCGGAAUGAUUGGGCGUAAAGCGUCUGUAGGUGGCUUAAAAAGUCUCCUGUCAAAGAUCAGGGCUUAACCCUGGGCCGGCAGGAGAAACUCUUAGGCUAGAGUUUGGUAGGGGCAGAGGGAAUUCCCGGUGGAGCGGUGAAAUGCGUAGAGAUCGGGAGGAACACCAAAGGCGAAAGCACUCUGCUGGGCCACAACUGACACUGAGAGACGAAAGCGAGGGGAGCAAAAGGGAUUAGAUACCCCUGUAGUCCUCGCCGUAAACGAUGGAUACUAGAUGUUGGAUAGGUUAAAGCAUUCAGUAUCGUAGCUAACGCGUGAAGUAUCCCGCCUGGGGAGUAUGCUCGCAAGAGUGAAACUUAAAGGAAUUGGCGGGGGA
rnacentral:rRNA from 1 species